UGUUUUUCCAGCCGCCACAGCCAUCUCUCCCUCGCUUCUCCUUCAGCCGACGUGCACACGCUCCCUGUCUUCUUCCUCACGGUGGCCAGCAGGGAGCACCAAGGCCAGCGCCCACUUCCUCCCAUGGCGCCCAGGCCUGCUCCUCUCGGCCAGCCAGGGCGCGGUGGCCCCUGCCCCUGCCCCUUCUUCCUCGCGCACGCUGCAUCUCCCAGCUCGGCCUCGCCAUCGCGCAGCAGCUCCCUGGAUCCAUGGCGCCGGUGAAGCUCGAGCAGUCAAGCUCCCAACCAUGGCGUCCAGAAAAUCCCACAGCCGAGCUCCCCAACCUGCUGUCUUUUCUCCCAGCGCCUCCCUCCACUCGCCCCCCCCUCGACGCAGCAAACCAGCGAGGUGCUCGACGCCGGCCUUUUUCCUCCCUGUGUGCCUUGCCGCAGGAGCAGGAGCUCUUCCCUUCCCCAGCGACGCCCCUCUGCAGCUCGCCCUCCUCUAGCCCAUGGCCGCCGGGAUCCACAGAGCAGAGCAGCACCUCUGCUCCUGCUUCCUUCCUCCAAUGUCGACCGACGCCAUGGAGUUGAACCGAGCCCCCCCUCUCUAAUCCAGCGCUCAAGGCUCCUCUCCCCCUCUCCCAUCCAUGGCGCCACAUUCAGCAGCAGCUUCUUCCCCCUAGCACUCGCUCCCUGCAGGCGAGCAGCUCGGCCCCUUCCUCCCUGCGCAGCAGCUCACCCCACCUUCCCUCGCUGCGCAUCUCCUCGGUGAAACACCGCUGUCCUGCAGCCCCGGCUUCCUCGCUGCUACCGCUGCGCGCAUGCCAAGUGCUCGGCAUAAUGUCAAGGGAGGCGUGUUGUUGCAGCACCGUCGACGCUCACCGGUUGGUCGCUGUUUUGCGCAGCCCCCAACCGCGCCGUCGAAACCCGUGCUAGUGGUCGACGUCGUGCCUUGCCCGUUCGAUGAAAUACCAAGCCUUGUGGACAGCCCAUGUGACUAGCCUCGAUUCGUCCAGGUUGUUCACUUGGUAUUUUGUGGAUUAAUCUAUUUAAGCUUUGGUCUAUGUUGUGCAUGUGUAAGAAAAUGUAUUUGUAUGGAUUGAAGUUCGUGGCGAAAGAAAAAGAAGUAGAAAAGAACUCGAACGUUUUUAUAUUUCGAUAGGAAUAUAUGCGAUGUAUUGUUUGAUGUGUGCGAUUUGUAGUUUGUAUAAUUACGUUUUGGUCGAUGUGGUGUAUAUUGGUGUUUGACUAUAUGUGGGUAUAAAAUGUUUUGGUUAUAUGCA